UCGUCUUUGUUUGUUUUCAUCACGUGCUGUGGUUAGAUUUUUCGAGAUGUCACCAAUGGAGGAUUCCAAUAGAACAUUUUAUCUUCAGAAUGAGGACUAUCCUAGGCUCAUUCACAUCUUGCAACCUUUGAAUGGGAGAAAUUACAACACCUGGAGCAGAACGAUGAUGAUGGCUUAAUUUGACGACAAAGAACAAAGUCGGUUUUGUCGAUGGCACCAUUCCUCGUGUGACAGCAAACAAUCUUCUCUUCAAUGCUUGGACCUGCUGUAAUAGCAUGGUGAUUUCAUGGCUCCCCUUAAAGGAAGUGUCAGCAUCCCCAAUGCACUCACAGUGGGCUCCGGGCUCAUACUAUCAACGAGUGUUAUAAGCUACAUGGAUACCCACCGGGAUAUAAGCUCAAAUCGAAGAAUACACCAGGUCAUGGCCAUAUCAGACCUCUAUUUUCUCUAACAAUUCAACUCCUUUUGAAUUGACGUUGGUUAAUCUCUUCUCCAGCCAAUGUCAACAACUUCUAGCUCCCUGCUACAACAUAGCUCAACUACCUCAGUGGAAUCACAACAAUAGGGAGGUCCUUUCAUGUGUUAUUUCAGUGGGGAGAAGCCUUUGAUGCUAUAACAUGUGUUGCCGCCCAUUAUAUAACAUAGAGCAUCAACCACCUAUGGUGAUACAAAAUGAAGAACAGAUAUUCUAAACCUUUGGCAGUUCCCAAAGCUAUUUUGAUCCUAUUUUUCCAACCGAGUGGACUGCAGCUAUGCUCUGUGUCAUUUCAGCAAAAUCCGCUCUUAGGAUAGGCUUCAGUUCUCUAUAAUUGUCAGUAAAAUAGAACAAAACGUCUUGAAUGUGAUGCAAAAGGAGUAUAAAUUAAACUAGUCUUCUGUGUUUGGUUUGUUCUUACUUGACAGAUGUUGGUCCAAUGAACCAUUGCAGACAAACUCAUAAACAAGCAGCCUAUGAUUUCUUUCUGAACAUGAUCCCAAUAGCAUUACCACAUUCUCAUGUCUGGCCUUGCUGAGUACAGUUACUUCAGAUUUGAAUUCCUUCUCUCCUUGAAAGCUUGCAUGUUUGUGUUGCUUAACAGCAAUCUUAAUCCCAUUCUUCAGCCGUCCUAUGUAGACAGGACCAAAUCCACCUUUUGAUAGGAAGUUCUCUGAGGCAAAUCCCUCUGUGGCUGCUUGCAGCUCUGCAUAAGUGAAGUCCUUUUUUCAUUCGAUCUUCGGCCUUCUGUUUUCGCAAAUUGAACAACUGGAGUUUCUAAGUAUCUCUUCUGGUUGGAACUCACUCAUCUGAUCAUUGCUGCUUUUAUGCUGCUUUUCUUCUUCAUUUGGACCCCCUAAUGCGGAUUGCUCUUCUGUUGUUUCUUGUUCUGCAUUUGUAGUGGCUUCUUCUUCUUGGUAACCCAGGGGGAAUAUCUUGUCUCGUUGAAGCUAGAACUUGAGGCUUCAGUGUUUGCAAGGCUAGAAUUGGAUAUGCUACUUCACAGAAUGAGCUGUUCACUAGAUGAGGAAUUAGAAAAUGUAGAUUUUCCUGAGUUAUUCCAUGGGGUUUCUCCACCACCAUCACCGCUUAGCACUUCACUCAUUCUGGUUUUUCCAGAAAUUGCUUGAAAAUGAGGGGGAAAAAAGGAUGUGAGCUACACCAUAAAAGCAAAUUUUAAAGAGAGUUUCUUAAGAAACUUAUAUAUUUUUCAUCAUUUUCUUUUUUUUGAUAGAAAAGGGUAUUCUAACUGUUUUCAAUCUAGAACUGUUUGGUUAUUUGAAUGUAGUAUAUUUUUCAUAUUGG